rnacentral:rRNA from 1 species
GACGAACGCUGGCGGCGUGCUUAACACAUGCAAGUCGAACGGUGAAGCUCCAGCUUGCUGGAGUGGAUCAGUGGCGAACGGGUGAGUAACACGUGAGCAACCUGCCCCUGACUCUGGAAUAAGCGCUGGAAACGGCGUCUAAUACUGGAUACGAGAAGGGUCCGCAUGGGCACUUUCUGGAAAGUUUUUCGGUUGGGGAUGGGCUCGCGGCCUAUCAGCUUGUUGGUGAGGUAAUGGCUCACCAAGGCGACGACGGGUAGCCGGCCUGAGAGGGCGACCGGCCACACUGGGACUGAGACACGGCCCAGACUCCUACGGGAGGCAGCAGUGGGGAAUAUUGCACAAUGGGCGAAAGCCUGAUGCAGCGACGCCGCGUGAGGGAUGACGGCCUUCGGGUUGUAAACCUCUUUCAGCAGGGAAGAAGCGAAAGUGACGGUACCUGCAGAAGAAGCAUCGGCUAACUACGUG